UAGCCUAGUGGUUAAGGCUAUGGAUCGCCAAUCCGGGGACGGCGAGUUCGAUUCUCGU
rfam:Aedes albopictus isolate Foshan contig66804, whole genome shotgun sequence.